rnacentral:lncRNA from 1 species
GGGAUGAGGACUAGGUUGCGGGUGGGGAUGGUGGCGGUUAUGGAGGUGAGGUUGUUGAUGGACUGGAUCUCGGCGGCGGAGGCGUUGAGGAGUCCGGCGAUGGAGCUGGGAGUGUUGUACGGUGGUUGAGACCAGAAAGUGAGGUAGGAGCGGCAUGAGGGCGGGCCGUUACAGGUGAAGCCGUUGGUUAUGUUGUCGAAGUCACGAUUCUCACAGGCUAGCUGGUGGUUGUUGACGUACGGUUGCUGAGCUUUGGUCGGUGAAGACGCGGCGAAGAAGAGAAGAAGGAGAAACAAGGGGGAGGUGGAUAGCGCGUGGAGUGUACGCGCAGCCAUGUUG